GCCUAGUUAGCUUGGCCGGUAGAGCGCCAGCCUUGUAAGGGCUAGGUUGCGGGUUCGAUUCCUGCCCAGGGCG
rnacentral:tRNA from 1 species